CCGGCCAGUGCAAACGUCCCUGGCCCGCGGGGACCGGCGUCUCGCUCCGGACCCGGGGCCGGGGAGUCCCCGCGCGCCGCGCCUCCGUGGAGGCGGCCAGCAGCCCGACGCUGCCGGUGUCCCGCGCUGAACCGCGGCUCUGGAGACGAGGGUCACCCUUGUCGUCAUACCGCCGCCCUUGACUCAAUGUCGCCCCGUGACGUGAUACCGCCCCCGUCACGAGAUGCCGCCCCCGUGACGUGAUGUCGCCCCCGUCACGAGAUGCCGCCCCCGUGACGUGGCUCAGCGGCGCCCGCCCGGUCCUGAGUUCCUGCUCUGCGUCCUCCCGAGCGGCCGUUUCCGGAGCUGGUCCGCCCGGUCGCCGGUCGCCCGCCCCGUCCACGCCCCUCUGCGGUCGCGUCGUGGGGGCCCCCCCGCCCUGUCCGGGCACGCAGCCCCGAGGCUGAGGGCCGGUCUGUGCGUGCCCCACGUCCUGUCCCCGCGCUCCGGCCGCCGUCCUUCCCGGGCGACACACGACACGGGCACGACUCCUUCCUCGACUCUGCAGUUGCCGACCCCGCGCGGCCUUUUGCGGUCAUGUCACUGCGGAGGGACUCCGCGGGCACGUCGGCGUUUUGGCCCGGGCUGUCGCUGCCCUUACGACGCUGACACUGCACCUCACUGACUUUCCCGUCAACCUCCGCAAGACCAAGACGGUGGGAACCGGAGUAACGGAGCGGGUGUUGCUCCACAGGUGCGCCCGGGACGUUCGUCCUCAUUCCCGGACGCCCGUCCCCGUCCCUGGCGUCCUCCGUCCCACAGGUGGACCGAGCGCCGCCCUGGACGUCCUCCUUGCGGCCGCGAACUCUCCGAGGCGUCCCGGCUCCUCAGCUCGCGGGGACCAGCGGCUCCACCCUGCUCUCCCGCUGCACAUCUGGGGACGCCGGCUGGUGGAGUGGUGGGACCUGGGAUGGCGCUAAAAGCUUCCCUCGGGGAAAGGAAAUGCCAAAUGCAGAUGUGACUCAGCGGUCAGGGCCAGGAGCCUGCCGCUACCAAGCACCCGACUGCUGCGGCCACUGGUCUGAAGCUCUAGGCAGAGCUCCGGGACCAGGUAGAGCGCCACCUCCUCCUGGCACCCCAGGGGCACCCACUCAGCUGUCUGUCCCUGUGCAGGUGUGAUGCUUACCAGAGGCUGAGGGACGUGUGGUCCACACCAGGCAGGCCUGACAGACGACACUCGCACAUGGUGUCAGUGAAGCACUGCACGCGUCUGCUCGUGUCCUGACUCCGGAGGCCACCGUCAUCGAGCCAUGGGGACCAGGCACCCUUCCAAGGGCACCGCAGGGAGAAGGGACUGUCCAGUCCUCUGCGUGGCCCCACUGAGCUGGUGCAGCAGCUCCGAGGGCACCAGGAGAGAGCAGGCCCAGCACCCCCAGAGGUGAGAGAGUGAAGCAGGUGUCCCCGUCCCCACCCCGAGAAUACACACAGGUUACAAGGGCAGGGCCCCCACCGCACCCAGGACCACCCUGCCUGCUCGCCUGCCCCCCCAGGCGGAAGCACUGGUGGGAGGGUAGGCAGGUCCCAAUCCCCUGUAGGACACCAGGUACAUAAGCAUUUUUAAUUCAGAGUUUAGGUUUCUCCCUAACAUUUUAGAAAAGUCUUUUUUAUUCCUAAGUUUUUCAUCAAAACUUUUUAUUAAAAAUAUAAAUAACUCUUACUACAAA